GCCGGGUGCAGUGGCGGGUGCCUGUAAUCCCAGCUACUCGGGAGGCUGAGGCAGGAGAAUUGCUUGAACCCGGGAGACACAGAUUGCAGUGAGCUGAGAUUGUGCCACUGCACUCUGGCCUGGGCGACAGAGCAAGACUCCAUCUCAA
rnacentral:SRP_RNA from 1 species